GAGAGUUUCGAAAAACCACUUC
rnacentral:snRNA from 1 species